AUGGACUCCCCGGGCACCGCCGGCCCUUCGUCCUCCUCCGCGGGCGACGCGCAGCAGCCGGUGGCGCUGGCGGUGGCGCCCCCGCAGCCGCCGCCGCCGCAGCAGCAGCUGAGCAGGUACGAGUCGCAGAAGCGGCGGGACUGGAACACGUUCCUGCAGUACCUGCGCAACCACCGCCCCCCGCUGACGCUGGCGCGGUGCAGCGGCGCGCACGUCAUCGAGUUCCUCAAGUACCUCGACCAGUUCGGCAAGACCAAGGUGCACGCGUCCGGCUGCGCGCACUACGGCCAGCCCAGCCCGCCCGCGCCCUGCCCCUGCCCGCUCCGCCAGGCCUGGGGCUCCCUCGACGCGCUCAUCGGCCGCCUCCGCGCCGCCUACGAGGAGAGCGGCCACGCGCCCGAGUCCAACCCCUUCGCCGCGCGCGCCGUGCGGAUCUACCUCCGCGAGGUCCGCGACGGCCAGGCCAAGGCCAGGGGCAUACCCUACGAGAAGAAGAAGCGCAAGCGCACGCCGGCGCUCCCUGCCGGCGCUGCCGGGGAGGGGACGAGCUCGUCGUCGGCCGCCGCGGCUGUCCCGGGCCGCGGCGAAGGAGGAGAGCAAAGUGGCAGCGGCACCGCGGCGGCUUCACCGCUGCCGUCGCCCACCGGCGCCCAGGCGGAAGGGAGUAGCGUCACCGCUGCACCAAGCACCUCUCGAGUAUAG
rnacentral:rRNA from 1 species